rnacentral:rRNA from 1 species
AGAGUUUGAUCCUGGCUCAGAUUGAACGCUAGCGGCAUGCUUGACACAUGCAAGUCGUACGGCAGCAUAGAUUUUUUGGUGGCGAGUGGCGAACGGGUGAGUAAUAUAUUGGAACGUACCAAAUAGUGGGGGAUAACAUAGCGAAAGUUAUGCUAAUACCGCGUAUUUUUUAAUUAGAAAGCUAGGAUUAUUAUUUUUUUUCUGGCGCUAUUUGAUCGGCUGAUAUCUGAUUAGCUAGUUGGUUAGGUAAAGGCUGACCAAGGCUACGAUCAGUAGUGGGUCUGAGAGGAUGAUCCGCCACAUUGGGACUGAGACACGGCCCAGACUCCUACGGGAGGCAGCAGUGGGGAAUUUUGGACAAUGAGCGAAAGCUUGAUCCAGCUAUGCCGCGUGUCCGAAGAAGGCCUUAGGGUUGUAAAAGACUUUAGUCUAGGAGCAAAGCUUAAUUAAAUAUGGGUAUGAGAGUACUAGAAGAAUAAGCACCGGCUAACUACGUGCCAGCAGCCGCGGUAAUACGUAGGGUGCGAGCGUUAAUCGGAAUUAUUGGGCGUAAAGAGUACGUAGGUUGUAAAGUGAGCUUGAUGUGAAAUCCCUAAGCUUAACUUAGGAACUGCAUUGAGGACAAUUUUACUAGAGUUUGUUAUAGGAAAGUAGAAUUCCAUGUGUAGCAGUGAAAUGCGUAGAUAUAUGGAGGAAUACCGAUGGCGAAGGCAGCUUUCUGGGAUAAAACUGACACUGAGGUACGAAGGCAUGGGUAGCAAACAGGAUUAGAUACCCUGGUAGUCCAUGCAGUAAACGAUGUCAACUAGCUGUUGGGGGUUUGAAUCCUUGGUAGUGAAGCAAACGCGAGAAGUUGACCGCCUGGGGAGUACGACCGCAAGGUUAAAACUCAAAGGAAUUGACGGGGACCCGCACAAGCGGUGGAUGAUGUGGAUUAAUUCGAGGCAACGCGAAAAACCUUACCUGCUUUUGACAUGCUAGGAAUCUCUGAGAGAUUAGAGAGUGCCUGUAAAGGAACCUAGGCACAGGUGCUGCAUGGCUGUCGUCAGCUCGUGUCGUGAGAUGUUGGGUUAAGUCCCGCAACGAGCGCAACCCUUGUCAGUAGUUGCUAUUCAUUUAGAAGCACUUUACUGAGACUGCCGGUGACAAGCUGGAGGAAGGUGGGGAUGACGUCAAGUCCUCAUGGCCCUUAUGGGCAGGGCUUCACACGUCAUACAAUGAUUGAUACAGAAGGUCGCUAAGUCGUGAGGCGGAGCUAAUCCUAAAAAACCAAUCUUAGUUCGGAUUGUACUCUGCAACUCGAGUGCAUGAAGUAGGAAUCGCUAGUAAUCGCAGAUCAGCAUGCUGCGGUGAAUACGUUCCCGGGUCUUGUACACACCGCCCGUCACACCAUGGAAGUGAGGUAUACCAGAAAUAGGUGUUUUAUGCUUUUUACGGUAUUUUUCAUAACUGGGGUGAAGUCGUAACAAGGUAACC